UGUGUGCUGUUUGUUGUACUUACUUGCGCAAUGGUUCAGUUUAGAAAUCCGCCUGGUCUGUCCCUCACUGAAAUCACUACAUUGGUCUCACCAAUGGGUCUUCAAAUUGAGGAACUUCCAUGCCGGCCAGAGAGAUGGCCAGAGGGAAUGGUGAUGAAGGCGUUGGUGAGCCAGUAGAACUGCCUGAUGCUGCACCAGGGUCUCCUGUACUGGAGGUGGAGGGACCCCCGACUAUCUUCAGCUCAUGGUGCCACACUGACUCCCGUCCAGAGUGCUGCAGUGUGCUCCUGAGGCACCUGGAGUUGACCACUUUAAGGUGAACAAGACCCUGCAUUGGCUCCAAAAACAGUUCUUCUCGGGCUGAGGUAGGAGAGACGUGGACAGCUACUGCCACUACUGUGACAUCUGCACAGCCAAGAAGGGGCUGGGGGACAGGGUGAGGGCACUGCUCUAGCAGCUGUGCGGUGAGGUGCCUAUCGAGAGAGUUAUAGUGGACGUCCUGGGGCUGUUUCCACUCACUGACGGGGAACCGCGAUGUGCUGGUGGCCAUGGACUACUCUACGAAGUGGCUGGAAGCAUACGUGGUUCCCUCUCAGGAAGCAGCAGUGAUGGCAGAUUGUCCGGUGGCCGCCAUGUCCUGCCGGUUUGGAGGGACCAAGAAUUGCACUCCGACCAGAGGAGAAACUUUGAACAAUAGCUCUUUGUCAAGGUCUGCCAUCUCCUUAGUGUAAGGAAAGCCACACCACCCUGCUGUACCUCCAGGUUAGUAUAGCAGUUUAACCACAAGCUAGCCACCCAGUUGGCCCUGCUCACCUCACACCACCAUCAUGACUGGGACCUGCACCUGCUCCUGGUCCUCCUGGCAACCAAACACUUCCUAGGCAAAGCAAUAACCAGACAAACAACAAAAAAAAAACACAAAAGAUCAUUGGUAUUAUUUAAAAACUUACUUAGCGACUUUAAAUAGUAAAAUUAUUGUGGUUAUUUUCAGUUUAAUUCGUUCAAAAUCAAAACACGACUUGCAAGAAAACAUCAGUAGGUAGCUAACAAGCAAAGCUAGCCUUACAAUCAAGGUUAUUUGAUGCUUACAAUCCUACUCAAGUUAGCUAGCAAUGCAUUUAUUACUUUCUAGCCAGAUUGCCAGGUUAAAAUUAACUGGCAAUUCCUUAUGAGAAUGAAUUAUUUUCCACCACGUAAGUAAUUCAGUUCAUGUAAACCUAACGUUGAUACACACUCCUCUCUUGAGCGUCUAGCAGCGAUUAUAGCCUAACUAUCGAGAUUCUAAGUAACUGGAGAUAAAACUUUUUUGUAGGCUACUCCAUGUAUAUCAUAAACCCUUGAAUAUAAAAAUGACUCAUUGAAAUCGGUUGAGAAAUGUAAACGUUAUAGUGCUUUUUAUCCAGAAAAACAGCAGCUCUCCCAUUUACUUCUAUUUGUAUUCAGGCCAGUCUUGCCUGGACCAAUAUGGCGGCCAUGUGUACGUAUCGCAGCAAGGGGCCGAAGCGGCCAAUGUGGCGACUAUGUUCAAACCCCAACCACAUUUUCCAUGACACUUAUUUGUUAUAAGUGACACCAUAUCUGAAGAGUGGAGGGUCCAAGGUUUUCAAAACACCCCCAUGUCAUUGAGACAACGUGUCCAGGGGAAGCAGCACAGCAUGAUAUCUGUUAUGGUAUCAGAAAGCAAUUGGCAUUUAAUUGAAUGAAAUUCGCCUAUGUACUGCAUGUUCAAACCCCAGCCACAUUUUCUAUGAUGCUUAUUUGAUAUGUGACACCAUAUCUGAAGAGUGGAGGGUCUAAGGUUUUCAAAACACUCCCAUAUCACUGAGACAACAUGUCCAGGGGAGGUAGCAGAGCCUGAUAUACACGAUCCAUUGACCUAUACUACUAUCAUUGGCUGCCACCUCCCCUCCGUACAAGGCAUCUACCACACACGAUGCCUUAGGACAGCACGGAAAAUCAUAAAAGACUACAGCCACCCAGGCUAUGGUCUGUUCUCAUGCUGCCGUCUGGUAGACGUUACCGGAGCAUCCCGGCACGGACUACCAGACUCACAAACAGUUUUUUCCCCCAGGCCAUCAGGCUUCUCAACCAGAAACAUUAAUCUCAGUGAUCACAUUGAUCUCCUCAAUGUAUGCUCUAGCCACUUUCUAUGUACUCAAUAUAAAUUACCAAAAAUUUAAUGUACAUAUUCAUCGGCACUUUAUAUUUACAAUUACACUCUAUAUUUAUAAUAUUUAAUACUCUUAUUCCUAUUGUCAGUAUUCCCCAUCUUUACAGGCUUUGGUACUGCUCUUUCUGCUAUGUAUAUUUUUGAUAUUUUUGCUAUUCUUGUUAUAUUUUUGCUUACUACGUAGUUGUUGCUUGCCAUGUCCUAAGAAUUUCAUUGUUCAGAAUGACCCUGUGUUAUACUGUGCACUUGAUAAAUAAAACACUUUGACUUUGA